UUAAUCUAAUAUUUCACGCCAAAACCCUUUUUUUCCCAAUUUUCUGUUUCUUUCUCUCUGCUCGACCGAUCCUUGAAGGUCUCGUUCUUCAAUCUCUCGUCCACACCUUGAGGAAGCCUAUCAGCAACGUUUUAAGAAAUGGCGUCAAAGUCAACCCGAUUCCGAGGAUGGUAGCUCAACCCAAGUGUCACUCAAUGAUGUAGCUUCAAUAUGGACGUGGGUGGUUGGUAGCGCAAAAAAAGUUAGAACAUUGUUGUCUGGUGAUGCGAGUUAUUCACAAGAUCACGAAGAGGUGGAAGCAUUACGAAAAGAAGUUGAAGAGUUGAAGGAGGAACGGAAAGAAGAUCGCGCAAAUUUUAACAAAUUGCAGAGUCUAGUGGAGAAAUUUAUGAGCGGACGUCCAUUGAUCCUUUGAAUGACGAGGAUGGUGGGGAUAAUGAAUUUUUGUUUGUUAUGGUUAUGAUGUUUGAGACAUUAUUAUUUGUUGUAGUUGGAUGUUUAGACUUGGUAAUAUUUACAUUUGACUAUGAUUGUAAUGUUUUAGACUAGAUUGAAUGGUACUAGAAUGUUUAACUCUUUUUGGA